GCGGGCGUGGCGGAAUUGGUAGACGCGCCAGAUUUAGGUUCUGGUAUCUUCGGGUGUGGGGGUUCGAGUCCCUUCGCCCGCA
rfam:Sphingorhabdus marina DSM 22363 genome assembly, contig: BS33DRAFT_scaffold00002.2